rnacentral:lncRNA from 1 species
GGAGUUUCACUUCGUCUUCUCCCCUUAAGUUUGUCUGUUCUUUCUGUGAUGGACAUCAUCUCUUCGCCUUCCUUUCCAUCCAGUGGAACAUGUGGUGCCUCUGUCCAAUCUUCCGCCCCAUCAUCUCCUCUGCCUCCCCUUCUCCACAAAUCCACCUGCCUCCCUUUCUUCUCUUCUUGCAUCCUUCCACAUGCUCAUCUGUGCUUCCGUCCGUCUGCACCUCGUGGGGUCGACGCCUCCCUGAUCGAGGUCCAUGCUUAAAGGUAUAGCCACCGCGCACUCCCUCAUGUCGAUCUUGACAGCUGAGCCAACCUCUCUUCCCGUCCUUCUUCAAUGCCAUGACACUCUGUUGUCCGUCCGCCCGACGUCGUCGAGGCAUCCUAACAGGCAUCGGUCUCAGUUGUGGAGUGAUGCUGGCCGUGGAGGCAUCCCAAAUCAGCAGCAACUGAUUAUUAGUCAAAAGAGAGGUGGUUAAAAUUGCUCCAACAUUCUUCUUCACGAUGACUGAUGGUAUCAUGGUAUGACUGUAGGUUGCCAUAGCCUUUGUACAUGCUUUUCUCUCUUCAGAUGUGUUUGUUCGGUUCAGUUUCUACUUUUAGUCUUCUGGGCAAGCUAGUAUGUAACUUGAUUACACCACAUGCAUUUUUUUUAUCUGAACAUGGAUGAAUUGCAUGUAUGAGUUUGAUUGCCAAAGACAGUUCGAGGUAGCUAUUUCUUCUAUCUCAAUUUCAUUCACUGUCAUAAUUGCUACCCCGCCUUCAGAUGUACUGGUUCUUAGUUAUAGUUGGUCCUUUUGUGCAACAAACUAUACUGGAUUCAUUUCGGCAAUCACAAGUAGACCCACGCAUAAACAUGUGUCCGUAAAUUUAGUUCUACUUUAAAUUUAAUGGUCCCUUUUCUGAAUCUCUUAUAGUGGCUGGAAGAUAAAUCAACUUCGCCAGAUUCCGGGACAUGGUGAUGAUUAGGUCUCCCUUCAUCUCCAUCUUAUGCAUCACGUAGCCGUCUCUCUGGUUAGUAUGAUGUUUUGUGUUUCUCCCUCUUGCUGUCAGUUUGCAGCUUUCUAAUAUGUGAUUCCAUUGCAUACACACACUACCUCAUGAUCAAGCUAUUCAUUUUUAGGAGUGGAACUAAGCUUUAUAGAACGCAUAAGCAUGCACAGUUUUGUAUUGAAGAAGGCAAACGAAAAACAAAUCAUAGGUACCUAGGUAUACUGUCAUGGAUGACAACCUAAAAGAAAUAGCAACACGUUGCACAAAAAAAUUCUGGUGAAAGACUUAACAGUGAGUUUCAUGAUUUAUAUGCGACCUUUUUCUAAAAAUUUAUAGAAAAUGAGAUUAUGUUCACUCACAUUUUAUCUUUCCAGUGCAAGAUAUAUUUUUUAUGGAAUGCACAGGAAUAGUUGUUAUUGUUUUAGGUUUUGCAAAGGGGUGAGAUGUCUCUGCUGUCUCUGCUUAACGUUUUUCCGUGAUCACCUUGAUGAUAAACAGUGAAGGUAAGGGAUUAAUAGAUAAUUUCACAUGCACACAUAUUCGAAUUUUCAUCAUGUUUUCUUUAGAUGCUUAAUUUAAACAAUAUUUUUUUAGACAAAUUUUUUGUCAUCAUCAUGUACUUAAUAAAGAUAUCAUGUUUUUAAACAUCACUUACUUAUUAUCGAUUCCCACAGCAACGCGUGGGGUAUCAUCUAGUAUCUCAAUAGCCUCCAUACCCAAAGCCACGCCGGAAUGGCUCCUCGCUUCCAAAUCCUCGCGAGUGGGGAUGGCGCCCGCCGCCGCAGCUCGCGCCUCCACUCCCAAAUCCAUGCGAGUGAGGAUGGCGCCCCCCGUCGUAGCCCGCGCCUCCACCCCCAAAUCCACGCGAGUGGGGAUGGCGCCGGAGUGACCCAUCGACACCGCCGCACAUCACAGGCGGCGACUGCCUCCCUGCCGGAGAGUGAUGAUUUGCUUCGGGAGAUCUUCAUCCGUCUCCCGCUGCAGCCAUCCUCGCUUCCCUGCGCCUUCGCCGUCUGCAAGGAUGGCGGGGCCUCAUCAUCGACCCAAAGUUCAUCAACAGCUUCUGCGCCCACCACCAGAAGCCACCUCUACUCGGCUUCAUCAAGGGAACCAGGUUCAACCCACUCCUCGUCGCUCCCGACUGGAUACCUAGCCUCUCCAGGCUCGGCCAGUACGGUGAUGGGCGCCGGUACCAUGUGCAUGAUAUCCACCACGGUCUCGUUCUCACCAGUAAAAUCUUGCUGGGGGAGGGGGUUUAUUUUGUGUGGGACCCCAUCACCGGCGAGCAGCGCGGCGUGCCUGUUCCGGCGAAGUUAACGAGGGGGAUUUUUCUCCACUGUCCGGUGGUCUGCGCUGCCAGCGACCAAGGCCAUGUGCACGACAGCUGCCACUCGCGCCCCUUGAAGGUGGUUCUGAUGCCCGCUUGCACAACUUGUCCCACCGCAUUUGUUUAUUCCCCAGAGACCGGCAUAUUUAGGAAUAUCAAUAUCACCUCGCUACAGCCUGCACUUCAGAGUUAUCUAGAGCGUACAGUUCGUGCUACUCUUGUUGGUAAUGUGCUCUACUGGGUGUCCAGUUGUAACCAUAUUUUAGAGUUUGCUUUGGACGAGUACAACCUAGUGGCGACCAUGGCGCCUCAGGCUAGAGGAGAAUUGCGAAAUGGCCGACAACAUGUGAUACUCGCUGAUGAUGGUGAUGUUGGCUUUACUAUACCAUUCUUUCCUCGCUUCUAAAUGUGGCGGUUGAAAGUUAAUGGUCAUGGUGUUGCUACAUGUUCGAUGUGGAAGAGCGUUGAAAUUAAUAACAUUCAUCUAUUCUCUCCACACACCAUUGCGCCAGCUAUCAUAAUGGGAUAUUGUGAGGAAUCUGAUACAAUGGUUAUAGAAGUUUUCACUGUUGGUGCUCCCAACAAUAAGUACAUGGUUCAACUCAAGUCCAUGCAGGCCAAGAAUGUUGAUAUGAAAAGUUAUCAUGGUUGGUGUCCUUUCACAAGUUUCUAUACACCAAGUGAUUGCUCAUCUUUAGUACUUGUAUUGCAGGAGUAACCUAAUUCAUUUUUUUGCACACUAAAUGUUUGCUCAGACAUCGUCAUUGUGCCUCUUGAGUAACUACGAACUUACACUUAAUCAACAUUUGCCCAUUUGUUGGAUUGACAAACUUAACUUGUAGCUGUGUUUUUUUUUCAGUAGGUGUCUUCAUUUUUGGGAGAUCCAAAUCAAAUGUCAAAUGAGUAGAAAUGUAAAAUCAAAUGUCACUUGGUAACUUAACUGGGCAUGUUUGUAAUCUUAACGCUAGUUAUAUAUUGUGUACAAUACUUUCUUUAACUAAAAAAUAACAACUUCCACUGAAUCAGUACCUCUUGAAAUGAUAUUUGUUUUCUUUGAACCCAAAUGAUAUUUUUAAUCAAUUGUCGAAAACCCUUCUGUAAGUGACUAUAAAUCUAUAGGAAAAGAAAUUGCAUUUCUUGACUCCAAUUAUGCUCAAGUUAUUCAAAGCUGCAUAUCCGAAGUCACUUUUGUUGCUGAAAUUUUUAGCUUAUGUAUGGUUUUCUAUGCUUGGCAUGACACAGGGAUGAGCUUACAUGUUAUUAUCAACUUAUUUUUCCAUUAAGUGGCCAAGCAUACAACUUUUAGAAAUAUUCCUUGUAUUUACAAUAGAUGUUUUAUUUUGUAUAUUGCUAGUUCAGAAGUGAGCUAUAAAUCAUCUGUAAAAUGUGAAUUAUGGAAGUGAGUUAUUUGUUCAAGGUGGAUUUGUCAGCUCAUUGGUGACUGACACACUGUUGCCUUGCAGUAUUACCCAUUUGACUUUUCUACAAAGCUGUUACUAAUUCCCUAAGUUUUAUGUUUCUAGGCACAACCAUUGCCGCUGGAUCAAAUGGAGCUGAAAUUCUGCACAGUAUAUAGGAUGACUAUGGUUUGAUGUGCUAAUGUGUUGAAAUGGUCCAGCGAGUAAGAAGAGCAUUCUGAAUGUAGCUUGUGAGAUUUGGACCGUUUGAUUUUUUUAUGGAAAAUAUGUCUUCUAGUGCAUGCACGCAGAACUUACUGUUCAAGUGUUCAUUUGCAUAUAGGUAUCUCCGGAUGUGAAUAACACAUACAUCAAUUGAAAUGUGGUUGUGCCAAUAUAAAAAUGACUCCUUUUUAUUUGUAAAUAACAACCUGAUAUUAAAUGUUUGUUGAAAUAACCUGUGCGCACGCCUAUUGGACAUGUCUAGAGUUUUGCCUUGUUUUUUGGCUUCAACUUCGGCAGAAACCAACCUCUGAAAUUAGCUUCACACGGAUGGGGAGAAGCCUAAAACAAUUCCACACCCUAACAAAUAUUUAUUUUGUUGUCUUUAGUUUUUUAUAGCGUCAAAAGGUUUCAAGUAUUUAAUUAAGCAGAGGUCGGUUUCUGCCGAAGUUGAAGCCAAAAAAUA